CCAUGUGCCCUUGUCUAUCAGUCUUUCCCUUCUCUAGCAGCAAUCCCCUUAUUUUCCUGGCAUAGUUUUAUCACCCCUUUAACAUGGGUGUCCCUUUUUUCCCCUUCUCUUCCAGUGCCACCCUAAUUUCCUCUCAUCCCAGGGUUGGAUUUACCCUCUCCUAUCCUAAGGCCAGUUUCCUCAAUUGACAUCAGCAACCCUCAUUUGGGAAGCCAUACAAUAUCAGUUGAAAAUUCCAUUAUCAAACGAUAUCAUGGCC